rnacentral:lncRNA from 1 species
AAAAGUGCAUAAAACAUGUGACGCCUGUGGUCCACCAUUGAGUGGUAUCCAUUUCAAUAUUUAUCGUGAUUGAAGAUGUAAAAAAUACCGCGAGAGUAAAUGACUUACCACAAUAACUCGUCCCAAGUAAUCUCUGAACCUCUCACGGAAGCUCCUCAUGUAAUCGGUGUAAGCCUGAAUAGGCGUUCGUCCUCUAAGAACCGGCAUGGAAUCACAUCCCAAUGAAAUGUACUCAGGGUUCCUCCGCCCUGACCGAUCAGUGUACACAAGGUCCGGGUUCUUACUUAUUUCUUCUAGCACCCAUGGCGGUAAUGGGAUACUAAACAUAUUCAAAACAUUAAGAAACGUUAGUUUAAUGUUUUCCAAAACCAUAACAGAAUCAUAUUUGUAUAUACAGUACCUGCAAGAGUCACCGACAUUGCCACCACACUGGUGAAAAGACAUGACAACUUGAAGUUUCAAACCAUGUUUUUCAACCAUUUGUACAAGCUCAAAAUACCCUUCCCAAUUAUACUUCAAAGGUCCAUCUUUUUCCACCAAGCCCCACCAAGCAUCCACCAUAACUCCUUCCACGCCGGCACUCUUUAACGCCAUUAAACUAGCAUUCAUCGCUUUCGGCUUGUUUAAGUUACCACCGUGUGUCACCGUGUCGAGCGGUAACAUCACGUAA